GAUUGCUUGUGUCCCCCCUUCACUUCCUCAUCGAGUCAGGCGCCAUACGCUCCGCCCGCGGUCGCGCCGCGCCGGCUGCACCCGCGAGACGGCCAAGCGCCACCGCGACGGACGCCACGUCCACCCGAUCAGCAAAACCCCAGGCCGGCCGUCUCACAUCUCCGUUCUCCGGGCUCCGGCACGGCGUGACCGUUGCUGAACACCGCAGCCAGACGGCGCAGACCCCGAUCGCUUCUAGUGGCACCACCAGCUCUCCGGCUCGCCCGUUUGCCUUCCCCUCUGUAGCUAGAGCUCUCACUCCCCGGCGUCCCCGGAGGCCGCGGCGCCGCCGGGCGCCCAUGGAGGACGCCUACGCCAAGUCCGUCGCCGAGGUGCUGGAGGCGUUCGGCGUGGAUCGGACCAAGGGCCUCACCGACACGCAGGUGGAGCAGCAUGCGAGGCUCUACGGCAAAAACGUGCUUCCCCAAGAAGAGAGUACUCCCUUUUGGAAGUUAGUUUUGAAGCAAUUUGAUGAUUUACUCGUCAAAAUAUUGAUAGCAGCUGCUGUUAUAUCCUUCCUUUUGGCUCGAAUGAAUGGUGAAACUGGAUUAUCAGCAUUUUUGGAACCAUCUGUGAUCUUUAUGAUACUGGCAGCAAAUGCAGCUGUGGGUGUGAUUACUGAAACGAAUGCUGAAAAAGCUCUUGAGGAGCUCCGUGCUUAUCAAGCUGAUAUUGCAACGGUUCUGCGCAAUGGUUGCUUUUCUAUACUUCCAGCAACAGAACUUGUCCCAGGAGAUAUAGUUGAAGUAGGAGUUGGUUGCAAAGUUCCGGCUGACAUGAGAAUGGUUGAAAUGUUAAGCCACCAAUUACGUGUUGACCAAGCAAUUCUUACAGGAGAAAGCUGUUCAGUCGCUAAAGAGCUCGAAUCUACUUCAGCAAUGAAUGCUGUCUACCAGGACAAAACAAACAUCCUUUUUUCGGGCACUGUUGUUGUAGCUGGCAGAGCAAGAGCAGUUGUUAUUGGGGUUGGAUCUAAUACUGCGAUGGGAAGUAUACGUGAUGCUAUGCUGAGAACGGAGGAUGAAGCAACACCGCUGAAGAAAAAGCUUGAUGAGUUUGGUACUUUUUUGGCAAAGGUGAUAGCAGGUAUAUGUAUACUUGUUUGGGUUGUAAAUAUUGGACAUUUCCGAGACCCUUCUCAUGGUGGCUUUGUUAGGGGUGCUAUCCACUAUUUUAAGGUAGCCGUAGCUCUUGCUGUUGCAGCUAUUCCAGAAGGUCUUCCAGCUGUGGUAACAACGUGCUUAGCUCUUGGUACCAAGAGAAUGGCUCGCUUGAACGCCAUUGUUAGGUCUCUUCCCUCUGUAGAGACAUUAGGAUGCACAACGGUUAUUUGCAGUGACAAAACUGGUACUCUCACAACAAACAUGAUGUCUGUGUCAAAGGUGUGUGUAGUGCGGUCUGUACACCAGAGACCAAUGACUGAUGAGUACUCCAUUAGUGGAACAACAUUUGCUCCUGAAGGUUUUAUUUAUGAUGCUGGUGGAUUGCAGCUGGAGUUUCCCCCUCAAUCACCAUCUCUCCUUCAUCUUGCUAUGUGUUCAGCUCUUUGUAAUGAGUCCACUCUACAAUUCAACCCUGAUAAAAAAUGUUAUGAAAAAAUUGGAGAGUCCACUGAAGUUGCUCUGCGUGUGCUUGUGGAGAAGGUUGGUCUUCCUGGUUUUGAUUCAAUGCCUUCAGCCCUCAACAUGCUAACUAAGCAUGAGCGUGCAUCGUACUGCAACCGUUAUUGGGAAAAUCAGUUCAGAAAGAUAUCCAUUCUAGAGUUCUCCCCAGAUCGCAAGAUGAUGAGCGUCCUUUGCAGUAGGAAACAACAAGAGAUUAUGUUUUCAAAAGGUGCCCCUGAAAGUAUAAUGGCAAGAUGCACACAUAUAUUGUGCAAUGAUGAUGGUUCUUCAGUACCAUUGACUAUGGACAUUCGUAAUGAGUUGGAAGCUAGAUUUCAAAGUUUUGCAGGGAAAGAUACAUUAAGGUGCUUAGCAUUAGCAUUAAAACGAAUGCCACCUGGUCAACAAAGCAUCUCUUAUGCUGACGAGGCCAACCUCACAUUUAUAGGACUGGUUGGGAUGCUUGAUCCACCAAGAGAAGAAGUUCGGGAUGCUAUCCACUCUUGUAUGUCUGCGGGGAUCCGUGUUAUAGUUGUCACUGGUGAUAACAAGUCUACAGCAGAGUCUCUGUGUCGGCAAAUUGGUGCUUUCGAGCACUUGGAUGACUUUGCGGGGUAUUCCUAUACAGCAUCGGAAUUUGAAGGAUUGCCUCCUCUGGAAAGGACAAACGCAUUGCAAAGGAUGGUUCUGUUUUCAAGAGUGGAACCUUCCCACAAGAAGAUGCUUGUUGAAGCCUUGCAAACACACAAUGAAGUGGUUGCUAUGACUGGAGAUGGUGUCAAUGAUGCACCUGCGCUGAAGAAAGCGGAUAUAGGAAUAGCAAUGGGGUCAGGAACCGCAGUUGCAAAGAGUGCGUCAGACAUGGUUUUGGCGGAUGACAACUUCGCCACAAUUGUUGCUGCUGUUGCGGAGGGAAGGGCCAUAUAUAAUAACACCAAGCAGUUUAUUCGGUACAUGAUCUCAUCAAAUAUUGGAGAGGUGGUUUGUAUUUUUGUGGCGGCAGUGCUUGGGAUGCCUGACACACUUAUACCUGUCCAGCUACUCUGGGUGAACCUUGUUACUGAUGGAUUGCCUGCAACUGCAAUCGGUUUCAAUAAACCUGAUGGCAACAUCAUGACAGUCAAGCCCCGCAAGGUUAAUGAAGCUGUGGUUAGCGGGUGGCUCUUUUUCCGUUAUUUGGUCAUUGGAGCUUAUGUCGGCCUUGCUACUAUAGCAGGUUUUGUUUGGUGGUUCGUUUAUUCUGAAAAUGGUCCUGGAUUACCAUACUCUGAAUUGGUAAGUCAUGAAUUUGGAACUAUUUUUCCCAAUUUCUAUGUUGGCACCUUUCUUUAUUUACUGGAACUGUCAUGCAAUGACCUGUUGUUAGUGUUAUUCUCAACAAUCCAACAACGAAAGGUUAUACUUCAACAGGGUAUUCAUGUAAAGCAUACAAGUACUAGUUUCAUAUGACAACAGGUGUCUGUGCUUGUCACAUUGAGUUGCAUCUUAUUGACAAAAUAAUGUUGGUUGACUAUAUCUGAAUGAGUCGAAUGCAGAAAACAUAUUAAAAUUGUCUUGUUACGGCCUUACGGGAGCUAGGAACUCACUUGUAUUGAUUGGUUGCGAAUGAGUUAGUCUAAUUUAUCUCAUUUUGUUUUUUUUUCUGAAGUUUGUUGUGGGUCCUUAAUAUGCCUUACUGAUUCCAUACACUCCGAAUUUAUUCCUUUAACCAUUGCAGGUCAAUUUUGAUUCAUGUUCUGCCAGGCAAACUUCUUAUCCUUGCAGCAUCUUUGAGGAUCGUCAUCCAUCCACUGUUUCAAUGACUGUGCUUGUUGUUGUUGAGAUGUUUAAUGCCUUGAAUAACCUAAGUGAAAACCAAUCUCUGCUGUAAGAGUUCUUGUCCUCCAUUACUGUCACUGUUCUAUUAUUAAUCUACAUGUACUACCUCCAAUAACAAAUGAGUGAUGCUUUGGUCACUCGUAGAGCAUUCAAAAUUCCACUAUGACCACUAAUUUAUGUUGUAAUAUAUUUUAAACCUAGUAAGAUUAUAGUAUUGGGAAAGUACUUUUCGAGACAAAUUUGUAUAUUCAGAAUGAAUUUUAAAGAUAUUAAUAUUUAAGGCUUGAAAACUUUGAACAUCCUGAAAUGUCACCUGGUUGGCUAGUUUUUGGCUGGAGCAAUUACUUGCUGUAAUUUAGGAGAGAAGCUGCCUGCAUCCAUGUUUUGUGUUUCUGCACUGUUCUUUUGAUCGAUUUGCAAAGGAAAACCAAACAUGUAGUCUUUUCAUUUGUGAAAGGUGAUUCUGAUGUAUCUCCAUAGAACAUCAACUAAAUCUAAGGUAUUUACACAACCAGCGUCUUCAAAUACAAUGUUUUCUACAUCACCAUGACCUUUUUUUUUUACACAGAAUCUAGAGGUUUAUAAUGGACUGGAUUUAAAAGUUUGGAUAAGUCAACUGAAAAACACCUGAAAUCUUAAGCUAUUAUCCUUUUUUUUCUGGAACCUAAGAGUAAUAUUUACGAGCAAAAGAAAGAAUGUAUCACGAUUUUUUAUAUUUGUGUUAUUAUAGAACAAAUAGUCAUUAUUUAAACCCAAUUACUUGUUUUGUUGGGCCCCUCCCAUUUCUGUGAACUUGAGAAUUGCAGGUGUCACUGAAAAGGUGGUGGCAUGUGCCAUAAACUUCUUCUGUACUAACACAGCUUCACUCUUAUCCAGUGUCAUUCAUCCAUGGAGUAACCUAUGGCUUGUUGGGUCAAUUAUUCUGACAAUGCUUCUUCACGUAGCAGUCCUGUACAUUGAACCACUAGCCGCUCUUUUCUCAGUGUCUCCAUUAUCGUGGGCUGAGUGGAAAAUUGUUCUUUAUCUAUCCUUCCCUGUAAUUCUGAUUGAUGAGGUAUUGAAAUUGUUUUCGAGAAGCCCACGAGGUCGAAGAUUCCCUUUAAGGUUGUGGAGACGUGAUAUACUUCCAAAAGAGUCGAGAGAUAAUUAGUUUUAGGCCUUAGCAUAUGGAGAUGCAUACGAUACACAGUGAGAAUCUUGGCUUCUGCUGGUCUCAGAAUGCCAGUUUUGGGCAGAAAUCAUAGGGCAGCUUCGAGAAUGUGUUCUAGGAUCUGUAGUUUAUAGACUGUGCUCAUACUUGUAACUGAUGCUUACAAAAAAAACGAGUUCAUGAUUGCCCCCCCUGUUCUGAUGGGGAUGAUUUACCAGUUAAGUAAACUUUUACAUUAUGUACUUGGUACAAAUUAUCUGGGUGACAACGACACCCCUUUGGUAUCUGGAGAGAGAAGCAUUCCCGUA